AGUGGAAUUCUGGGCAGUUUGGAGAUGUUGAGAAGCACCUUGCAAUGCUCAACAAUUCCUGAGCAGCCUGCUGAAAAACUUGUAGCCAGUUCAACUUUCAGCAGGAGUCAGAAGAGGUUUGUGGAGUUUGGCAAUGAGGAAGACUGGAGAAAGAAAACUCAAAAUCACCGCUAUGAACAGCUCUUUAAACAUGAAUGGCUAACUGAAGGAAGUCUUGCGCACUUGCAGUGCCGUGAUGUUCUGCCAUCCGAAGGGGAAUUAAUCGCUGAGUAGCAUGAAGACUGCACAGCACAGACAACAGGCAUGGUCCAGCCUCAGGGGACUAAUUAUGUUCUUAAAGGGCUGCCCAUCCUGCUUCCCAGUAAGACCUCAGCUGUGUGUGUACCAGGAAAGCAAAUAAGAAAGGUCUUCACCAAAAAGCUCUGAGAAUGUAAAACUGGUACCUGGAGAUACAGGGGGGAUUCUGCCUGUUCACAACAUAUCUGACAGCGUAAACUGCCCAAAGAAGGCUUUUUUGAUUCACAGAACAGCUACAUCUGAGAAACUGCUGUCAGAGUCACAGGAGUCAACUCCCUUUGCAUAAAUGUGUGCCAACAAAGAAAGAAAAAAAAAACCAACAACCCGACAAAUUAGUUGGAUGGUGCAAGAAACCAGUU